rnacentral:rRNA from 1 species
CUCUUCUUGUUUUGAUAAUUUGAAGUAUAACCUGCCCACUGAAUUAUAUUUAUUGAAGGGCCGCGGUAUUUUGACCGUGCAAAGGUAGCAUAAUCAUUAGUCUUUUAAUUGAAGACUGGAAUGAAUGGUUGGACGAGGAAUAUACUGUUUCUUAUUUAGUUAUUGAAUUUAAAUUUUAAGUUAAAAUUCUUAAAUAUUAUUAUGGGACGAGAAGACCCUAUAGAGUUUAAUAAAUUGUUUUUAUUUUGGUUUGUAUUUUAAUUUUUGUUUAAAUUUAAGGUUUAUUUUGUUGGGGUGAUAAAAAGGGUUAUAAAGCUCUUUUUUUAAUUUAUAUAUUUAUUUAUAAUUUUUUGAUCCUAUUUUGUUGAUUAUAAGACUAAAUUACCUUAGGGAUAACAGCGUAA